rnacentral:rRNA from 1 species
GAUGAACGCUGUCUACAGGCUUAACACAUGCAAGUCGAGGGGAAACGACGGGGAAGCUUGCUUCCCCGGGCGUCGACCGGCGCACGGGUGAGUAACGCGUAUCCAACCUGCCUCUGACUGAGGGAUAACCCGUCGAAAGUCGGCCUAAUACCUCAUGGCAUCGUCUGCGGGCAUCCAACGACGAUUAAAGAUUUCAUCGGUCAGGGAUGGGGAUGCGUCUGAUUAGCUUGUUGGCGGGGUAACGGCCCACCAAGGCUACGAUCAGUAGGGGUUCUGAGAGGAAGGUCCCCCACAGUGGAACUGAGACACGGUCCAAACUCCUACGGGAGGCAGCAGUGAGGAAUAUUGGUCAAUGGGCGGGAGCCUGAACCAGCCAAGUAGCGUGCAGGAUGACGGCCCUAUGGGUUGUAAACUGCUUUUAUGCGGGGAUAAAGUGAGGGACGUGUCCUUCAUUGCAGGUACCGCAUGAAUAAGGACCGGCUAAUUCCGUG